GCUGGCGGCGUGCCUAAUACAUGCAAGUCGAGCGAAUGGAUUGAGAGCUUGCUCUCAAGAAGUUAGCGGCGGACGGGUGAGUAACACGUGGGUAACCUGCCCAUAAGACUGGGAUAACUCCGGGAAACCGGGGCUAAUACCGGAUAACAUUUUGAACUGCAUGGUUCGAAAUUGAAAGGCGGCUUCGGCUGUCACUUAUGGAUGGACCCGCGUCGCAUUAGCUAGUUGGUGAGGUAACGGCUCACCAAGGCAACGAUGCGUAGCCGACCUGAGAGGGUGAUCGGCCACACUGGGACUGAGACACGGCCCAGACUCCUACGGGAGGCAGCAGUAGGGAAUCUUCCGCAAUGGACGAAAGUCUGACGGAGCAACGCCGCGUGAGUGAUGAAGGCUUUCGGGUCGUAAAACUCUGUUGUUAGGGAAGAACAAGUGCUAGUUGAAUAAGCUGGCACCUUGACGGUACCUAACCAGAAAGCCACGGCUAACUACGUGCCAGCAGCCGCGGUAAUAC
rnacentral:rRNA from 1 species